rnacentral:rRNA from 1 species
AGCAGCCGCGGUAAUUCCAGCUCCAAUAGCGUAUAUUAAAGUUGUUGCAGUUAAAAAGCUCGUAGUUGAAUUUUAGGCCUGGCCAGGCGGUCCGUCUUUGGCGAGUACUGUCUUGUGUCGGGUCUUCCUUCUGGUGAACCUGUAUGUCCUUUAUUGGGUGUGCAGGGGAGCCAGGACCAUUACCUUGAAAAAAUUAGAGUGUUUAAAGCGGGCUAUUGCUUGAAUAGAUUAGCAUGGAAUAAUAGAAUAGGACGUUGUGGUUCUAUUUUGUUGGUUUCUAGGACCACCGUAAUGAUUAAUAGGGAUAGUUGGGGGCAUUAGUAUUCAAUUGUCAGAGGUGAAAUUCUUGGAUUUAUUGAAGACUAACUACUGCGAAAGCAUUUGCCAAGGAUGUUUUCAUUAAUCAAGAACGAAAGUUAGGGGAUCGAAGACGAUCAGAUACCGUCGUAG